GUACAAUGUGUUCUCACGAUAACGUUUAUUGUUUUUAAAAAUAGAAAACUCGUCUGCAGUUGAUUUUUUUUUUGAACUCCAGUUCCUAUUUGCUAAUUUUAUGAAAAUAAUGGUUAGAAAGUAUUUCGAGAAAAUUACGUCGAAAAUUGCCAACAAUUAGGUAUAUUGAAUUGCUAUAAUUUGACUGUGAUCAUACUUUUCAACUAUCAACACACUUAAAAUUAUGGCACCAAUGAUCCUAAUCGUUUUGUUUUUAUCGAUUGCAAUACCGUGAUAAGAUAAUAAUGCCCAUAAUACUUAAAGAAACUAAUGACUCAGAAAUUAGUCAUAUUUUCAAGUUAUGUAACUUUUUUUUAAAAGAAAACAAACAUUGCAUAGAAUCUUUAAAAGAAAAUAACAUUGUUUAUAAUUUAUUAAGUAUUUUAUGAUGCAAUAACAAUAAGGUAUACAAAGUAAUUUUAAUUGCAGCCGAAUAUCUGCUUAGUUUAAAAUUACUUAAAAAUAUAUACUUAAUAAUAUAUAAUAUGUGCUCCAUAUGUAUCUAAUAUAAUAAAUUACAACUUAGAUUAGAAAACAUGUCCAUGAUGCUUUUAAAUUGUUGUUUUUAGCAUUCACCAUUAAUACAAAGAGGAAAAGUAAUAACGAAAAAUUAAGAACCAUUGCUACCAAACUUCCAAUUAAAUUGUUAAAAUAUUGGAUGUGUUAUGCUGGUAUUAAAAUUAAUAUUAUUAUCUGUGAACGAAUACUACCAACGAACUAAGGAUUCUAAAUUUCGUGAUUCUAAAUAGAAA